rnacentral:rRNA from 1 species
GACGAACGCUGGCGGCGCGCCUAACACAUGCAAGUCGAACGGAGUCAAGAGGAGCUUGCUUUUCUUGACUUAGUGGCGAACGGGUGAGUAACGCGUGAGUAACCUGCCCUGGAGUGGGGGACAACAGUUGGAAACGACUGCUAAUACCGCAUAAGCCCACGGAUCUGCAUGGAUCUGCGGGAAAAGGAUUUAUUCGCUCUAGGAUGGACUCGCGUCCAAUUAGCUAGUUGGUGAGGUAACGGCCCACCAAGGCGACGAUUGGUAGCCGGACUGAGAGGUUGAACGGCCACAUUGGGACUGAGACACGGCCCAGACCCCUACGGGAGGCAGCAGUGGGGGAUAUUGCACAAUGGGGGAAACCCUGAUGCAGCGACGCCGCGUGGAGGAAGAAGGUUUUCGGAUUGUAAACUCCUGUCGUUAGGGACGAUAAUGACGGUACCUAACAAGAAAGCACCAGCUAACUACGUG